rnacentral:rRNA from 1 species
UACAAAGGACGACAUUAGACGAAUCAUCUGGAAAGAUGAAUCAAAGAAGGUAAUAAUCCUGUAGUCGAAAAUGUUGUCUCUCUUGAGUGGAUCCUGAGUACGACGGAGCACGUGAAAUUCCGUCGGAAUCUGGGAGGACCAUCUCCUAAGGCUAAAUACUCUCUAGUGACCGAUAGUGAACCAGUACCGUGAGGGAAAGGUGAAAAGCACCCCGGAAGGGGAGUGAAAUAGAACCUGAAACCGUGUGCUUACAAGUAGUCAGAGCCCGUUAAUGGGUGAUGGCGUGCCUUUUGUAGAAUGAACCGGCGAGUUACGAUUUGAUGCAAGGUUAAGCAGUAAAUGUGGAGCCGUAGCGAAAGCGAGUCUGAAUAGGGCGUUUAGUAUUUGGUCGUAGACCCGAAACCAGGUGAUCUACCCUUGGUCAGGUUGAAGUUCAGGUAACACUGAAUGGAGGACCGAACCGACUUACGUUGAAAAGUGAGCGGAUGAACUGAGGGUAGCGGAGAAAUUCCAAUCGAACCUGGAGAUAGCUGGUUCUCUCCGAAAUAGCUUUAGGGCUAGCCUCAAGUGAUGAUUAUUGGAGGUAGAGCACUGUUUGGACGAGGGGCCCCUCUCGGGUUACCGAAUUCAGACAAACUCCGAAUGCCAAUUAAUUUAACUUGGGAGUCAGAACAUGGGUGAUAAGGUCCGUGUUCGAAAGGGAAACAGCCCAGACCACCAGCUAAGGUCCCAAAAUAUAUGUUAAGUGGAAAAGGAUGUGGCGUUGCCCAGACAACUAGGAUGUUGGCUUAGAAGCAGCCAUCAUUUAAAGAGUGCGUAAUAGCUCA